UGUUCUGAAGCAUAGCUUCGCUGGUAGAGCAUGAGACUCUUAAUCUCAGGGUUGUGGGUUGGAGCCCCACAUUGGACAA